CCUACGGGAGGCAGCAGUGGGGAAUUUUGGACAAUGGGCGCAAGCCUGAUCCAGCAAUGCCGCGUGAGUGAAGAAGGCCUUCGGGUUGUAAAGCUCUUUUGUCAGGGAAGAAACGGUCUACUCUAAUACAGUGGGCUAAUGACGGUACCUGAAGAAUAAGCACCGGCUAACUACGUGCCAGCAGCCGCGGUAAUACGUAGGGUGCAAGCGUUAAUCGGAAUUACUGGGCGUAAAGCGUGCGCAGGCGGUUAUAUAAGUCAGAUGUGAAAUCCCCGGGCUCAACCUGGGAACUGCAUUUGAGACUGUAUGGCUAGAGUGUGUCAGAGGGGGGUAGAAUUCCACGUGUAGCAGUGAAAUGCGUAGAUAUGUGGAGGAAUACCGAUGGCGAAGGCAGCCCCCUGGGAUAACACUGACGCUCAUGCACGAAAGCGUGGGGAGCAAACAGGAUUAGAUACCCUGGUAGUCCACGCCCUAAACGAUGUCUACUAGUUGUCGGGACUUAAUUGUCUUGGUAACGCAGCUAACGCGUGAAGUAGACCGCCUGGGGAGUACGGUCGCAAGNUUAAAACGCAAAGGAAUUGACGG
rnacentral:rRNA from 1 species